UACGUAGGGUGCAGGCGUUAAUCGGAAUUACUGGGCGUAAAGGGCUCGUAGGCGGCCAACUAAGUCAGACGUGAAAUCCCUCGGCUUAACCGGGGAACUGCGUCUGAUACUGGAUGGCUUGAGAUUGGGAGAGGGAUGCGGAAUUCCAGGUGUAGCGGUGAAAUGCGUAGAUAUCUGGAGGAACACCGGUGGCGAAGGCGGCAUCCUGGACCAACACUGACGCUGAGGGAGCGAAAGCCAGGGGAGCAAACGGG
rnacentral:rRNA from 1 species